AAAGAGAUAAAUCCUAAGUUUUCGUGUCUAACGUUUGACCGUCCGUCUUAUUUAAAAAAAUUAUGAAAAAAUUUAAAAAGAUAAGUUACGCAUAAAGUAUUAAUCAUAUUUUAUCAUCUAACAACAAUAAAAAUACUAAUUAUAAAAAAAUUUCAUACAAGACGAUAGUCAAACAUUAUACACGGAAACCCAGGGUUUGUCCUUUU
rnacentral:pre_miRNA from 1 species